UUUCCGUAGGUGAACCUGCGGAAGGAUCAUUACUGAGUGAGGGCCCCUCGGGGUCCAACCUCCCACCCGUGUUUAACGAACCUUGUUGCUUCUGCGGGCCCGCCUCACGGCCGCCGGGGGGCAUCUGCCCCCGGGCCCGCGCCCGCCGAAGCCACCUGUGAACGCUGUCUGAAGUAUGCAGUCUGAGACAAUUAUUAAAUUAAUUAAAACUUUCAACAACGGAUCUCUUGGUUCCG
rnacentral:misc_RNA from 1 species